rnacentral:rRNA from 1 species
AUUGAACGCUGGCGGCAUGCUUUACACAUGCAAGUCGAACGGCAGCGCGGGCUUCGGCCUGGCGGCGAGUGGCGAACGGGUGAGUAAUACAUCGGAACGUGCCCAGUAGUGGGGGAUAGCUCGGCGAAAGCCGGAUUAAUACCGCAUACGACCUGAGGGUGAAAGCGGGGGAUCUUCGGACCUCGCGCUAUUGGAGCGGCCGAUGGCAGAUUAGCUAGUUGGUGGGGUAAAGGCCUACCAAGGCGACGAUCUGUAGCUGGUCUGAGAGGACGACCAGCCACACUGGGACUGAGACACGGCCCAGACUCCUACGGGAGGCAGCAGUGGGGAAUUUUGGACAAUGGGCGAAAGCCUGAUCCAGCAAUGCCGCGUGUGUGAUGAAGGCCUUCGGGUUGUAAAGCACUUUUGGCGGGAACGAAAAGGACUGGGCCAAUACCAUGGUUCGAUGACGGUACCCGCAGAAUAAGCACCGGCUAACUACGUG